AAGAAAGUGACUGCCGCCCCGCACAGGGGCGAAGCUAAUAAACCAAUAUCAAAGCAAGUUUCAUGGAAGCACGAGCGCAUCAAACGGUGUAAACAGGAACCCAAGCGCCAGCGCCAA
rnacentral:sRNA from 1 species